rnacentral:lncRNA from 12 species
GUGAAAGAAGCAUCGAGCACAUUCACUGUAGCUGUGCCUCUGUGCUCAGAGAGGAAGUCAUGCUGAGUGUUUGGGGUACACAGAUAUUAUGUACGGUGUAAUGAUAACCUGGAUCUUGCACGUAAUGGAUAAUACCUGAUACAGAAGGAAAAGAAGUAACUGACGCUUAGGAGCUGCAUGAACCUGAAUAAAACUGAGAUACUCUUGGACCGACUCACACGGCAGGGCAACGAUCAGUGGAACCGACCCUUGGAAGGAAGCUGAGCAUGGUUUCCUUGCUUCCGGGCAGAGCAAGCAUGGGGGAAGCAGACAUUGGCACAGAAGGGGCAGUCCCGGAGCGGAAUGGCAGCGCCGCCGAGCCUCCAUCAGCCUCCAUCAGCGUGGCACUCCCCGCCUCCAAGUGCCAGGGAUCAGGUGCAGGGCAGCAAGCGCCAGGUCUAUCUGAGUAACUCCACAGGCCCCGGAUCCAGAGUCCCCGGGGAGGAUCGUAACCAGCCAGGUGGGAGGCUGGCCGGUUGUUGAAGAGCUGGCCCGUGGAGUGGUGGUCCUCGACCAGACGAGACUGCAGAGAACAGAACAGAGAGCUACUGUCAGAUGCGUGCUCAGGUGCUUUUCCACGCAGCCUCUAGAACCGCGUUACUCAAAGUGUGACUGCCCGGACCAGCAGCCUCAACAUCACCUGGUAGCUCGUCAGAAAUACAGGAUCUUAGGCUCCACUCAAGACCUAUUAAAUUAGGGUCAGUCUUUUAAAAAGAUGCUCUGGUGACUCAUCUGCUCAUUAAAUUUUGAAAAGCACUGAGCUGGAUAAGACCACACACCGGCGUGCCUGAAACCCCUGGCACUCUACCCGCUGCAGUGAUCACCUCUUUCAGAGCCCUCGGGUGAGCACUGCCAACCCCGAGAGGCCACCGCUUGACACAGAGGCACAUCCCUCUGGCCGGUAGGCAGAGACGGUCCUGGGAUGCUGUGCAGAUGCUCAGCACGUUCAGCAAGCCGUCCAAGAUCACUGCGGCUCUCCUCACCAUGCCUGUCAGGUUCUAUAACUCUUCUCCGAUGACUCAUCUCUUCAUACACAUGUGUUGCAAUUUUCUUUAAAGACCAGCUUGUCAGCAGCAUUCAAAGCUAGUUAUUUGUCCUUUGUUGCAAAACUUCAUCCCUAUUCCUGGAAACACCCCCCCGCCCCCACCGCCGCCACCACCACCCAGACCAAAUUCAACUCUAGUCCUUGACUCGCUUUGAUUCAUUCACUCACUGGCUGGACAAGUACUUGCCGAGCGUUUACCAUGCGCCCGGCCCUGCCAGCCUUCCCUGCCCUUUCCGUUCAAUGACCGCCAUGUAAACGUUUGCGUACUUUCUCCGCCAUACAGCUUGCUUGCUUGCUUUCCUAAAGGUUGACUUACUUUCAACCUCUUACAUAAAAAUGGAAACGUAUAUUUAAAGUAGAAAACAUGACCUCUAGCCUAAGAGAACCAAUACGGUAAUGGAAAAGGCAGGCCAUAUCACUUCUAAAUGGGUAAAGAGCAGAUGUUCAAGACCCCAAAGAAGUGACACCUCUGGACUAGAACAAGCGUUGGAUUGUGCAAUGAGUCAAGAGGGUCAAUCAGUCAGGUUCUGUUUCCUCCAUUAACCCACUUGGACAAGUCUCUCUGCCCCUCCAAACUUCAAUGUUCUCAAAUACUUUAAAAAAAAUUAAAUAAAAAAAAUUAAAUAGAUUUAAAAAUUAUUUUG